rnacentral:lncRNA from 1 species
CUGGGCUGUGGCCCUGGGGACGCUACCACUGGCCUCACACCCUGGGACGUGGAUGGGCCGCUCUGGCCUGUCUGCAGGGGAAACGGCUGUCACUUCCAUCAGAGACGACGGAUGCAGCAGGGCCUGUCUGUGCCAAAACCAGAGUCGAGUUCCAGCCAGACCACGGGGCUUCUCACCGUCCCUCCCACUGCGGCUGCCGUCCUCUGGCCUGGACUGUCUUACCCUUCCACCCUCCUGGCUGAGCUCGCCCGUCUCCUUGGAACGCUCUCACAAGCCCCCUGCCAGAAGGCGCUCGUCUGGACCACCUGACCCCACGGGCCCCUCCCCUGCUUGCUUGGCCACACCUCUCCGUGAGACUGGCCAUCUGUGGCAGCCGUGGUGUGGGGCCAGGGAGGAGAUGCUCUGGGCAGAGAGCCCAGGUGGGGUCUCAGCCUGGGAGUGAUGGUGCUGCCGUGGUUCCAAUGUCUGUGUUCCUCCGAAAUUCACAUUGAGACUGAAUCCCCAGUGCAACAGGGUCCAGAGGUAAGGCCUUCAGGAGGGUUAGGCCGUAAGGGUUCCACCUUCAAGGGUAGGAUUAGAGCCUUAUGAAAGGGCUGUCUGACUGGCCAGGCCCCUUUUGCCCUUCCACCUUCUGCUAUGAGAGGACACAGUAACAAGGGGCCAUCGUGGAAGCACAGAGCAGUCCUUCCCAGACACCAAAUCUGCUGGGGCCCUGGUCUUGGACUUCCCAGACUCCAGAGCUGUAAGUGGUACAUUUCUGCUCUUUACAACUCACCCA